GACAGAGGGUGCAAACGUUGUUCGGAAUUACUGGGCGUAAAGCGCGUGUAGGCGGCUAUGCAAGUCGGAUGUGAAAGCCCUCGGCUCAACCGGGGAAUUGCGCUUGAUACUGCGGCGCUGGAAGGUGGGAGAGGAUGGCGGAAUUCCCAGUGUAGAGGUGAAAUUCGUAGAUAUUGGGAAGAACACCGGUGGCGAAGGCGGCUCACUGGCUCAUAUCUGACGCUCAGGCGCGACAGCGUGGGGAUCAAACAGG
rnacentral:rRNA from 1 species